rnacentral:rRNA from 1 species
UACGUAGGGGGCAAGCGUUGUCCGGAAUCAUUGGGCGUAAAGAGCGCGUAGGCGGCUAGGUAAGUCCGACGUGAAAUCUGGAGGCUCAACCUCCAGCGGUCGUUGGAAACUACUUGGCUAGAGUCCGGAAGAGGAGAGUGGAAUUCCUGGUGUAGCGGUGAAAUGCGCAGAUAUCAGGAAGAACACCGAUGGCGAAAGCAGCUCUCUGGGACGGUACUGACGCUGAAUAGCGAAAGCCAGGGGAGCAAACGGG